rnacentral:rRNA from 1 species
AUUGAACGCUGGCGGCAUGCCUUACACAUGCAAGUCGAACGGCAGCACGGGAGCAAUCCUGGUGGCGAGUGGCGAACGGGUGAGUAAUAUAUCGGAACGUGCCCGGUCGUGGGGGAUAACGUAGCGAAAGCUACGCUAAUACCGCAUACGAUCUACGGAUGAAAGCGGGGGAUCGCAAGACCUCGCGCGAUUGGAGCGGCCGAUAUCAGAUUAGGUAGUUGGUGAGGUAAAGGCUCACCAAGCCGACGAUCUGUAGCUGGUCUGAGAGGACGACCAGCCACACUGGGACUGAGACACGGCCCAGACUCCUACGGGAGGCAGCAGUGGGGAAUUUUGGACAAUGGGCGCAAGCCUGAUCCAGCAAUGCCGCGUGCAGGAUGACGGUCCUAUGGAUUGUAAACUGCUUUAUACAGGAAGAAACACUCCGACGUGUCGGAGCUUGACGGUACU